rnacentral:rRNA from 1 species
CACGAAGUUAGCCGGGGCUUAUUCUUCCGGUACCGUCAUUAUCGUCCCGGACAAAAGAGCUUUACAACCCUAAGGCCUUCAUCACUCACGCGGCAUGGCUGGAUCAGGCUUGCGCCCAUUGUCCAAUAUUCCCCACUGCUGCCUCCCGUAGGAGUCUGGGCCGUGUCUCAGCCCCAGUGUGGCUGAUCAUCCUCUCAGACCAGCUACUGAUCGUCGCCUUGGUAGGCCAUUACCCCACCAACUAGCUAAUCAGACGCGGGCCGAUCCUUCGGCAGCAAGCCUUUCCCCAAAAGGGCGUAUCCGGUAUUAGCGCUAGUUUCCCAGCGUUAUUCCGAACCAAAGGGUACGUUCCCACGUGUUACUCACCCGUCUGCCGCUGACCCCGAAGGGCCCGCUCGACUUGCAUGUGUUAAGCCUGCCGCCAGCGUUCGCUCUGAGCCAGGAUCAAACUCU